rnacentral:sRNA from 17 species
GUCAACGACCCAGGUCUGAAGACACUGGGCUUCCAACCUAAGACUUAAGACAACAGUUGACCAGACUCAGUACCUUGCGUACUACGUUAUUGGCAAGUGUUCAAGUUCCUACCUUGGGAUGCGUAGCCAGUUCCUUGCUCUAGA